ACACACACACACACACACACACACACACACACACACAGAGUCACAAACAAAAAUGGACACAAACAUAUGAGAAGGGAGACUAGCUGAAGCAUGGUGCAUUUUAAAAACUGUAGAGGUCCUGGGACCUGUAUUUUGUUAUAUAUAUUUUUUUCCAAAAUUUAUUUCUGACUUUGUGCUAUAUGUGUUCAUUAUAAAAACACUAUACAUUGCUGAUGCUGCUAGGUUGAAAGUUAUAUGUUGAAACUGGUCAUGGUGGCUCAUAGCUUCAGUCCUAGGGCUUGGGAACUUGAGGCAGCAGAAUUGUGAGUUAGAACCCAACCUUGGCUAUAUUUAGAGAUUCUGUAAUGAAAAAGAAAUAACAACAAAAAAUUAUUUAUUGUCGAUAUUUUUUGCCUCAUUAAGGUACUCCAGAAAUAUAAGUAGUAGUUAAGAUACAACAUAGGACUUACAGCAAUUUGUGUCUCAAAUCCGGCCAUACAGUAUACAUAUUUGAUGAAACUUAAAGGACUGACUUUUUCUUUUGAAAAGAUGGUACCUGAGACUUCAAAGAUGUAACAUGAAUUUCUGAGUUCAUUUAGAUGAAAAGUCUUGUCUUUCUGAGUAUAGCAAUUACAGACUUAUACCACAGUGUCUGGCUUUAGAUAUUUUUUGUUAAAGUUCAUGUAUGAUUUUACAUUUGUUUCAGUUAUAAAAUAACAUUAAAUUAAGUAUACUAGAAAUGAAGAUAAUAUUCACCAUUAUAGUUUCAAAUAAUUUUAAUAAUUGUUAACAAGAACAAUUAGUGUGGCUAUAUACUAUUGCAGUAUGUAGGCAAUAAUGGCCACCUCUUUUUAUUUAUAUUAAAAGGCAAAAUCAGAAUCAAACCUGCAAGAAUAUGCUAAUUUUAAACAUUUAUAGGUUAUCACUUUUAAUUGCUAUCCAAACAACCAAAUAUAUGUAAUAUAUUGAUUAAUUGGAACAGUUCACAGGGAUUAUGUAAUGUUAAGAUUCACUAACUUAAUUGCGUAUUCUUUUUCUUUCUAUCAGAAAUUCCCCAUUUGAGACCAAAGCCAGUAUAUGUUACUGUAACUCGAGAUAAUGAAACAAUUUACAGUACAAAAAUUCCAUACAUGGCAGCUCGUGUUGUUUUCAUUAAAUGGAUUGUAACUUUCUUUUUGGAAAAAAAGUAUCUAACUGCAACACAAAACACUAAAAAUGGAGUUGAUGUAUUGCCUAAAAUCAUCCAGGUAUGACAACCAUCAUUUUAAAAUCUCUUUCUCUUGUAUAAUAAGCACACAAGCACAUUAGCAAAGUAACUGAUUGUUAGAACUACAGAUUUUGUAGGUUUGAUUUACUGGCUCACUUGUCUGCAGGUCUGAGGUUUUAGAGGAGCUAUGCAGUGUUGGAGUUGCUAUAAGAAGGUAGUCUCAGGGGCAAGCAAAAUUCUGGGACUAUAGCUCUUGUGGAUACUUUCCUGCCUCCCUUCUUUCUCCUUCUUGUAGGUGUUGUGUUUUCUGAGCACAGGCACAGGGUCUUGCCUUUCCUUCACCAGUUGGAAGGCCCUCAUGUUCUGUAGAUCUGGCCUAUGGAAAGGGCUCAUGCUGUCAUGUAGCCUUUGGCAUCUCAGGAGAGGCUUGGGCCAGCAGCUCAGGAUCCCGGGGUAGUUGUUGCUUUAUGAUGCUGUUCCUAGAGAGAAGUCUGCCUUUCUCUGAGGCCUUCAGGAAAGACUUGUCAGGUAGGAGGGCCUUCAGUGUGUGUACUUGGUAGAACACUACUGUUUUUAGAACUUAGAGAUCAGUCGCAUCACUGAGGGGUCAUGGUUUUGUGUGGGUUGAUUAUCGUUGUUUCUUGUCCCCAAGAACAGGGCCAGCAACUGUAGUGCACUUAUUGAAGGUUUGCUGAUGUCAAGGAGGCUCCAGAAAUAGGACGUUGCUCCAAGCUGGAAAAAAACAUAUGCUGGAGGAGGCAGAGCAGAAGUUGCUGUAUUUCAAGGUCAUUGGUGCCUUGGUCGAAGGAGGAGCACCAAGCAGUUUAUAGCCUAUGGAUCCAUUGUAGAGGACUUACUGGAGACCCAGAGGGCAAACUUGUUUUCAAAAGAAUCUCUGGUAUAGAAGUACAGUGAGAACAACAAAGGGCUUCCUGAGAGGUAGUUCAAAACAAACCAAAACCCCUUAACUUUAUACUUUGAAAGAUGAAAUGAAAACAGUAAUGAGUAUAUUUGUCUCCUCAAAGUUUUUAUUUCAGAUUUGAAAUAUGAUAUUCUUUCAUACACGUAAAGUAAGUGAGCUGGCGUGGAGGUGCACACCUUUGCCCCUAGUCCUCUGGAGGCAGAGGCAGGUGAAUCUCCUUGAGUUUGAGACCAGCCUGGUCUACAAAGCAUGUUCCAGGACAGCUGGGCUAUAUAGAGAGACCCUGUGUCAAAACAAACAAGCAACAAAAAAACUAGUAUCCUUAUCAAGGUGAUCAAAACUUUUAAAACAAUAUACUAGUUUUAUAAAUGACUUUAAAAUAUACUUAAAGUUCUGUUUCACAAUAGAAUUCACAUUUUUGCUACAAAGUCCUUUGCUAUACAUGCAGAGUUGUUGUUUUUCUGUUCCCCAAGUGAAACAAUAUCUUUUUCUUGGUCUAGAACUUGUACUUUUGAUAGGGAAAAGACCAGCUAAUGAUGUGUGUUCUAGACCCAGCUUCCCUAGCACUAGGCUUAACAGACUUUCUUGUUCCGUUGGUUGUUAGUUGGCUCUUUGUUACUGUGCCAAGGAUACCUGAAGUAGUCAACUUGAAGCAGUUUACUUUUGGCUCAUACUUUUAGAGGCUGUAGUCCAUGGUCAGUCAGUCCUAUGGAUUUGGUUCUGCGUAUCGGGGAUUUAAAAACCACCGAGAUGGCAAGGCAGCUGAGCAUAUUUGUUUUUAUAAUUCUUUAAUUAUAGU
rnacentral:lncRNA from 1 species